rnacentral:rRNA from 1 species
CCUACGGGUGGCAGCAGUGGGGAAUAUUGGACAAUGGGGGGAACCCUGAUCCAGCCAUGCCGCGUGUGUGAAGAAGGCCCUCGGGUUGUAAAGCACUUUCAGUGAGGAAGAACGCCUGGUGGUUAAUACCCAUCAGGAAAGACAUCACUCACAGAAGAAGCACCGGCUAACUCCGUGCCAGCAGCCGCGGUAAUACGGAGGGUGCGAGCGUUAAUCGGAAUUACUGGGCGUGAAGCGCGCGUAGGUGGCUUGAUAAGCCGGUUGUGAAAGCCCCGGGCUCAACCUGGGAACGGCAUCCGGAACUGUCGAGCUAGAGGGCAGGAGAGGAAGGUAGCAGCCACGGUGUAGCGGGGAAAUGCGUAGAGAUCGGGAGGAAGACCAGUGGCGAAGGCGGCCUUAUGGACUGACACUGACACUGAGGUGCGAAAGCGUGGGUAGCAAACAGGAUUAGAUACCCUUGUGGUC